UAUAUAUAUAUAUAUAUAUAUAUAUAUAUAUAUAUAUAUAUAUAUAUACACAGUACCCUCCCGAGUUUAGCGCUAUCCGAGUUUCGCGAUCCUCGAGUUUGGCGCUUAGUCCUAAAUUCUUACCAUCCCGAGUUUGGCGCUGUAUCGCCCCGAGUUUCGCGCUGCUUUGACAAGUAUUGGUCGCGUUUACUUCCGGGUGGCGUCACGUAUGCUGCCCCAAGACUCCUGCAGUUGGCUGACUGAGCUGACCACGUGUGCACGCGUCCUUAGCCCUCUUCUACCAGCAUCUUGAUAGUUCUUAUAUGCAAGCUAAUUAAUUGUGAUGUCAGGAAAUAAAGGAGGCACUGCAGCAUGUGGCUCGAAGAAACCUACUUC